GUCCUCUCAGAGUCACAUUUGGAGAGUUUCUUGUACUCUACCAGUCUCGACUAUGGGAGGGAGAGUUAAGCAGAGACAUACCCAUUCCAUUCCUAGCUUGGCCAGUGGCUAGCGAGUGGAAGGCAAUCUACUACAAGU